CCCUGGCUGGCUUAGUCGGUAGAGCAUGUGACUCUUGAUCUCACGGUUGUGAGGUCAAGCCCCACGUUGGGCA
rnacentral:tRNA from 1 species